CCGAUGAUCAGCCGGCACGUCAGGCAAGAUGGCGACCACAAGCGGGUACUUGCUAUUCGCUUUCCUCAACCCCUUGGCCAGCCCAACCACGCCCUUCACGUAAUCGCCGUUUCCGGCCAAAAACGUCACGUAGGCACAACUAGGCUGGUCCCCGGGCUUCGGCUUCACGAUGCCAUUAGUAGCAGCAUCGACGGCCAUGACAGGAGCCAUUUCUUUGGUAGGAAUGGGUUUGAGGUUUUUGUGAAUGGAAUGAAGGAUGAGUGUUUGGUAAGAUUUCGCAAUUGCUUGAGUGAGAUUGAGUUGAUGAAUUUGGCAGGAGGAGGAUGCACGGCUUAUAUAGAGUUGGAGAAUUAAUUUUUUAAUUAAGCUGACUAAAUCUUGAGGAUAAUGCGGUGAUUGAUUGUCUAGCUCCUGUGAUAGGGACAUGGGAUGGAAGCUUGCUUGAACCGAGGAGUUUCAUACCGACAAACUAAAGAUUUUGUCGGUCCAAUGGGGGUGGGCUAGGCCUUUUUCUCCUUAAACGAAGUCGUUUGGGAGCUCCACCGAUGGAUCGAACUCCACGUGGUCAGUGCGAGUGCAUCGGACGGUCAUCAAGCAAGAUCGGGGUGUCGUGGACGGUGCUGGAAUAUGCAAGAGAGAGAGACCAACGAGUUAAGCUCUUUGCAGAUUUACUACUAUACACUACUACCGACUUCUUAAUUCGAAGACCACGCCAAGGUAUAAUUGUAAAUUUGAGAAAAUUCCAGGGGUGAUUAUAUUUCAAAUGUACGUUUAACUUUUAUAGGGUGCCGUGGAAGGGGGCGGUUUUCCGACGAUAAUGUCACGCACUUGCCCAAAAUUGGGAGUCAACAAGCCUACAUUCCCGUCUCCUUAGAAAGUGCUACCUCUCUUUUUGACUAAGGGGCACAAUAGUGGAAUGAUAAGCUUUACCCAAAUACCCAAAAGAAUAAAGUUGAACCCGCAAGAAAGGGCAAACAAUGAGUAUAUUGAUUAAACAAGUAUAUGUGCUUUUGUCGUGUGGACUCAUCAAUCUUAUUGAGCUUUUGUGUUGAUUAUAGGUAUCUUAAUUAUACAGUAUAUAUUUCUCUCUUUUUUAUAUAGAGGCACGGAGGUGAAAAACUAGCUACAUACACAAUUAUGGGAAUACCCUAAAAACUCAAAGAAGUAAAGAAGUCAAGACGUUUUGCCUAUAGAAGUGAUUUAAAUCAAAAUAGUUUGAACACAUUUGAUAGGAUCCGAAAGAACGGUCUUUGAUUUUCCAAACUAAAAAUGUUGCGACACCUUGACCAAUUAUGCGAACCUUGAGAGUUUUUAGAAAAUCAUUUUAGUGUUAGCUUUUCACAAAUAAAUAUCACGAGAGCUCGUGUUUUACUCUAGCUUUAUAAUAUUAGAGGAGGUUUAAAUUGCAAUUCCAAGGGGAUGAAUCACAAUUAUUUAAAAAAAUCCGAUGAUUUUGCAAAUCAAAUCAUCUAAUUGGUAAGUUGAUUAAAUCAUUUUUGCUUUGCUAAAAGAGGUUAAUUUAUUUUCCUAAACGUAUUUAAUUUAUCCACACGCAGAACACGGCUCUCUUUAAUUUGAUUGCAUAGUACGCAAAUAAAAUACUCGAGUGUAUACACUCGCUAUACAGCCUAUACUCGGUCCAUUUCCGCUUGUUCUCGCUCCCAUGCAUUUGAGAUAUUAUUCUUGGCGUCGAUGAGGAACUCGACGGACCGAUGCUGCGUCUCCAUGUGGGCGAGCUACACGUGAGCAGCACUGGAUCCUGCGCUCUGGAGGAAGGAAGCGUCCUCUCAAUUUCGUGCAAGUUUUGGUAAAAAAGGUGGAAUUUAUGAUAUGAAUUCACUAGUUAAUACCAACUGUUUAUUGUCCAACUGCCGCCGCACCGUCCACGUCCAGCGCCGCGAAUAUUCCGCACAUUCUUUAUUUAUUUAUUUUCCCCUUUUUUUUUCUUUGGUGAAGAAACUUUCCCUUUUUUCCUUCGGAUGCAUGAAUCGCGUGAAACCUGUCGGAGUCUGCAUGGGGCUGCGUUGCAGGGACACGUGGCGGAAAAGGGCACCUUCUUGGAAGGCCUCUUUUUUCUAUUGCGGUUAUGUUAGUUGGACCAAGAGGAGGUGGGGGCCGUUAAUUUAAUAAGCGAUUAAUCAAAAUGGUAGCCAAAAAAUGGAGAAUAGUUUUCUAAGCAUGCUCUGUACCGUAGGUCUCCGGGAGAGUAGUUUUACUAAACCGGUCAUUAAAAUUUUCCUUUGGCAUUACUAUAAAAUGGCGAAAAUUAGACCGAAUGCUCUCAAAUUUAUAAUAGGACAUUCGUUCGAGUCUUAAACCUUUUAAUUAAAAUUAUUUGGUCUUAAACUUUUGAGGAAAAAUCUAAUCGAGUCUUCUCAGCCACCCCUGACAUGUAGCAAUGACGGAGUGACGUGGAAUAAUAUUCACAAGACGAUGGUGACAUGGGUUUUCUUGAGCAACUAAAACACCAAAUUAGCCCUAAAUUACAAAGUCCCACUUUGAUCCCUCCCAUUCGAGCACUAUUUCCCUUGAGAAACCCCACCUGUAGUCUUGGCAGCAAAAUUUGGAGAAAAGAUGAAGGUGAACUCGUGAUUCCAUAGUGGAAACGACAAAGAGUGAUCGUGUUAAAUUUACGUUGAAGUCCAAUGUCUUCAAUAUUUGACAAAAUUUGACGAAAAAGGCAAAGAAUCAAUCAAACAUAUAACAUUGGUAGUGGUACCUCAGAGAAUUUAUUAUAUGUUCAUGAUCUAGCUAUGUGUUUGUGUUGGUCUCUUUACAUGCGUGCUAGUGAUCCCCCAAUUACAAAAGAAAAAAGAAAAAAAAAAGGUUCAAUGUAGCCUUUAGCAUGAGAUUGAGAUGAACGACAAAUCGAUAUUGGUUUUGCAUUUUCAAGAUUGGAUAUUUUGUCAGAUGCCCGAUACUUAACUAUGUGCUGGAGUGAGAAAAUGAAUUUAGCGGAUUGGGUCCAUUUGAAAAACUUCUACAGUUAGAGAAAAUCUUUUAAUUUUUGUAUGUAUCACUGUAAAUCACAAUUAAAUGGGGGCACUUAGUUAGAUUGGUGACACAGUUCUAUAGUAUCAGAAUAUCACUACCCCUACAUCAACCGGUAUGUGAGCUGUUAUGUUUGAAUUUUCUCCAAAGCGCGGGGCCCCACCUCCCCUAUCUAUUUGCGCGUCUUUUGCUUGGCCCAUAAUACCAGUCCACGUUUCAGCUCCUGAUUUAAAGGGCGGUUGCAAAGGACACGUGGCGAAAAGGGGUGGCGUCCUUGGAGUCUCUUUUUACACUUGCAGUUAUGUUAGUUGAUCCGAGGGAGAGUUGGCCAUCUCUUACUUUAGUCAAAGAAAUUUUACACGCUAAUGACAGCUAAAGACCAAUAGAUUAGUGACUAAAUUGUCUUCUUCGAGAACCUGCUGACCCCACGAAAAGAGAAUUUUGAAACUUUUGAAAGAAGAUGACCUUUGAAUAUUAUUUGUAUGACGUUGGAUCGCAACCGAUUUAAUGUUGUAUGAAAUGAAUACUGAGCUCUCUUUAUCAAGAGCCUGUGGCAAACAAAGAGUUCUAUCUUACCCCCUCUAUUAAUAUUGAGCAAUCCUAAUUGCAAAAAAAAAUUGAUUUUGACAAUUUAUUUUGAAGUAAGUGAGUCAUAUAUUGAAACAUGAAUUAAAAAAUAAUGUCAAUCUAUAAACCAAUUUUAAAAGAAAAUCUUUGAAUUUAUGGCUGACAUUGUCUUAAAGAUCUAGAGCAAUUUUCACUUUUUGAUAUAUUCAAAUUACAUGAGAAAUAGAGAGGGCUAAAUAUCCCGUGAUAAAUUGGACAAUACUUUUAGUCAAAGAUAAGUUUGUGAUUUUAGAGGGAAGGGGUAUUGUUACAUUUUAGCAAACAAAGUAGAAUGCACAACUUUCUAUAUCAUCAGUGUUGGGCACUUACACAUAUUGAAUCGGAUUGUUGCAAGCUGUAGAACUGAGCACGUUUCAAAAAGAAUUGAUCCAUUAUCUUGCUUGCGAAUGAUAAGAGCAUCUUUGACUACCCAAAGUAAGUAUUAGCCAAAGCAGCUCUUCAGGCCACAUUAAUUGAGUGAAAGGUCUAAAAGAGAACGCUGUGUUCGGGGGAUAAUAUUCGUGCUUUGCGGCUCUCUAGUAGAAUAGCUUUACUAAAUCGAUCACGCCCUUUGUUUUGGCAUUACUACAAAUGCUUUGGCCUUCAGCUCUUCAUUUCAGCCAUAGGUUAUGACCAUGCUCAUGCCUUUUUUUUUUUUUAAUUGCAAGUAUAGAAAGAGCUUUUCCAAUGGGAAAGCAAAGAGAAAAUGUGUCUGGAAAGGGUGCACGGGCAGCCCAUGCACGCCGUAUCUCAUUUCCGACUCACCUCUUCUAGUUUUCUUUAGUGAUUUUUCAUCUAAUCUUUUUAUCAAGAUAUGAAAUGAAAAAAAUAAACGUUAUUUCUUUAUAAAUCGAGUUUACAAAUGAGUCUUUUUUAGCUAACAUUCUUCUUAAAGAUUUAGAGUAUCCAAAUUACAUGAAAAUAGAGGGAGGGUUAAACAUUUUGUGGUACAGCGAAUCAGACUUUUAGUCAAAGACAAGUUUGUCCUUUUAGAGAAGACAUAGUAUUAUUACAUCCAACUAGGUGAAACAGAGUUUCUAUAAUCUGAUCAUGGUAAGGGUGCAAGUGCAUCUCAUAUCUUACCGCCAACUCCCUCCCUCUGUCCGUUAUUUUAUUUAGUCGUUUUCCGAAAUCUGUCUUUUUGUAGUUCUCCAUUGUAUUCAUAUAAUAGUAUGAGAAAAGGUAUUAAGGAAAUUCCACGACUAUAGAUAUACAACAAAAAAAAAAAACAUAUAUUAAUUUGAUAUCAUUUGACAUAUAUUUUGUACAUAUCACUCAAUGAAAGAAAAAAGGAGAAAUCUUUCUUUUCAACCCCUAUGUCAUGGAAAUGAAAGGGAAAAUAAAACCCAUCCCUUUCAUGCUACCAAUUCCAAUGUAGUAGACUCUAUAAUUGCUCUACACUUUAAAAAAAAAAAAAAAUCCCUAAUUACACACAACUAGGCUGCAGUCGGGGCAGUUAUGAAGCGGAAAGCUCCGGCCUCCGCUAACGCCGCAAGGAAUCGAUCCCAUUUUGUUUUCUUCGCUGCUUCAUCUCUUGCAAUGAUAUUCUUGUAGUCCAAGGACUCAUCAUCAUAAAUAUCCCGCCACUUCUUCACCAGCAUCUUGAUAUCGUCCCGAUCCAUGUUCUGUUCCUCGCCCGUGUACCGCCAUGGCUUCGACCCGGCGGCACAAUAAUGAACGACCUUCACCUUGUCCAACUCAACGUUCUCAGGGUGACGCCACAACAUCGCGAGUACAAAGUUGUACACAUUAGGAAUCGGUUUGUAAAUGUCCUUGAAGUACAUGUUCAAGAGAUCUUGUUCAGCAAAUGCAGUCGGAGGUGUGAUCUUGAGGGUUUCGAGCAAAUCGUGGUAAGUGUCGAGGUUUGGCUCGUACACGAACAUGCCGGCGUUGAAGUAGAGAGACGGCUUCGGGCCAACGUGGUCGGGCCAUUGGACCUUGUCAGGGCAUUGUUGGCAAUACCCGAUUUCGUAUUGAGGGGUGUGACUCCAUGUCUUCUCGCAAAAGCAGUCCAUGACUGCAUAGAAGAAGCCGUUCGGGAGGUCGAAGAGGUGGUCAAUGUUGUCGAAGACUUGGAUGUCUCCAUCCAAAUAGAUCAUCUUGCUAUACUCGACAAACUGCAAUUCAAAAAACCAUAUCAAUAACUCAAUGUUAAUAUUACUUCUCAAUCUUAACAUUCAAAAAGGAGACAAAGAUCUAAAAUACAAAGAAAUAUUUAAUAACAAAGUAUACCUCCCAAAUUCGGAGCUUGGAGUAGUUGAUGACGUAAUAGGCCAUGGCGAAUUGCGUCUGGUUCUCCGGCGGAUAGACGGGUUCGAUCUCCCUCACGAUGCAACCUUGAUCCACCAGGAUCUUCCGGUGAUCCGCCGGCACGUCUGGCAAGAUGGCGACCACAAGCGGGUACUUGCUCUUCGCCUUCCUCAAUCCCUUGGCCAGCCCAACCACGCCCUUCACGUAAUCGCCGUUUCCGGCCAAAAACGUCACGUAGGCACAACUAGGCUGGUCCCCGGGCUUCGGCUUCACGAUGCCAUUAGUAGCAGCAUCGACGGCCAUGACAGGAGCCAUUUCUUUGGUAGGAAUGGGUUUGAGGUUUCUGUGAGUGGAAUGGAGGAUGAGUGUUUGGUAAGAUUUCGCAAUUGCUUGGGUGAG
rnacentral:lncRNA from 1 species